GGUGCCAACGAUGCCAACGGUGCCAAGGGCGCCAGAGGAGCUGACAGCCGAAGGAGGAGCGGCCGCGUUCUGCUGAGCUGCCGAGGGAUCAGGUUUGCCAGAGGAGGAGCGCGCAUGGCACUGCAUCUCCGAACUCCCCAACACCAUGGAGGUGGUUUACUGUUGGAUCUGAGCAGCCACUCACUGGGCAGCACCUUAGCUGCUGUAUUCACCGUGCUGAAGGAGGCUAUGGGCAUCCUGCCCAGAGAAGCAGGAUGUCCAGGAUUGUGCCUACCUUCAACUAGGAUGUAGUGGGAACUUGAAACCUGAGACUUCCAGACGAUGCUGGCCACCAACUGGUGCCUCACACAGAAACCCCACGGGUCCUGCCAGCACUGGACCCUUGCUCUUUCUCCUGUAGCUUUGCCUUGGCUCAAGACCCAUCUGCACCAGUUCUAUGGUCUCUGGGAGCUCCUUUGGAGGCCUGGCUGUCCCUGUGCUCUGCAAGAGCAGACAAGAUGUGGGUCUUGCUGGAUUCCAACCAGGCCUGAACUCUCUGCAUGAAGGAGGAGACUGGAGUCUCUCCAUCCAAUUUAGGAAUUCUGUGAACAAAUCAACUGGAGACAGCCUGUUUUCUCUUUGUGACCAGGAGGAGUUUCAGCAGGAAAUUCAGCCUAGUCCUGGGGGCCACAGCAUCUGACUUAAGAAUGUAGUUUCAAAGGGGAUGAUACUUUCCAAGCAUCAGUGUGUCAGACAUGAGGCUAGGGCAGAGUAAUGAGCAUGGUGAGUGUUGAGGAAAAGCUGAGAUGCCCUCCGAUAGGCAAGCCCCAAGGAAGGCUGCCUGAAGGAAGCAGCCCAUCAGUCCUACAGGCUGUGGUCAUGGAGGUGGGCAAGAGUGACAGAGGACUGGGUUUGUCUUUCAGAUUUCUGAUUUCCACAGCUAAUCGCUAUAGUAACUUAAUCCCUGAGAUAAAGCUCCUGUCCUCCAAACGUGGAAGGGAAAUGGGCAUGAGGGAAGCAGCUUGUCCUUGGAGGGAGGCUGGCUAUGUCGGAAGGAUUCAGCAAUUCUGUCUUUCUGUGGCUCCACUAACCUCCUUUCCCACUGGGUACAGCGCUUGUGCCUUCUUCCCUUGUUCCCGCGAGGCUUCCUGGCAGCAGCUUCUUCAGAACUGGAGGUCUAGGUUGACUCCAUCCCAUCCAGUUAUGUUCCCUACUGUCCUGUGGUGGAGGUGCCAGUAGGGCAGUACCAGAGCAAAGAUGGGACAUGGCACCUGUGCACAGAAACCCUCAAGGGGUUCACCUUGGGUCAAGAAAAUCAGCCAGAGAUGUCUGUUGCUGUGUAACAAACUACCCCACAAUUUAGCAGCUUAAACAUAUAGUGUUAUCUCUGGUGGUGUCCCACUCACAGGCUACAGUCUGAGUGUGCUCUGGCCAUGGUCUCUCAUGUGAAGGCCCAGCCAAGAGGAGAUGCUGUAAAGUUGACAAGAUUUCAGUUCCUUUCCGGAAAACCCACAAGGGUCUUAUUUUCUGCUUUUUGGCUGGAGGCUUCGCUGACUUUUUUUCUGCUUUUUGGCUGGAGGCCUCACUGACUUCUUUGCCUAUCCACAGUGUGUCUCCCAAUAUGACAGGUGCCCCCCCACCACCUGUUUAAGCAAGAGAGAGCAAAUGAGGAAAUGGGCUCUGUCGUCCAUUUGACUUCAUAAGAGAAAUUCUGGAAUGUUUUGUUUGAGUUGAAGGCCAUACAUACUAAAAAGAAGCAGGUCCACACUGGACUACAUACACCAGGAAAAGAAAGGUGGAGGACUACCUCAUGGGUCAUCUCCAUAGCCUGCCACGACACCAUCCAAACCCUGUUAGUGUCCUCACCUGGGAACACUACUGUGCUCAGUAUCUUGCUACCCUAGUGUGUCACUUUUUUAAACACUGAAUUGUAAUACCCUAAGAUAUACCCAGGGAGUCAGAGGUACAUUCUUGUUAGAGCUGCCGCUGGUAUCUGUUGACCCCUUUACAAGGGAGUUGAUCCCUUUGAAUUUCCCUGUGUGGCAUAAGGCAUCUAAAGCUAGGUUGCUAGGCUGUUGCUAAGACAAGAUUGGGUGCACUCACCCUCAGAGCUCCCUAAGGCUUUGAUGAAGUUGGAACUUCCCUUGUACCUGCUCUAAAGCCACCAGU